rnacentral:rRNA from 1 species
GUACACGCUGUGACUAGCAUAUCAAUAAGCGGAGGAAAAGAAACUAACAAGGAUUCCCCUAGUAACGGCGAGUGAAGCGGGAAGAGCUCAAAUUUGAAAUCUUAAAGGGUUUCCCUUUACGAAUUGUAGUUUAAAGAAGUGUUUUCUGUUGAGGUUUUGGUAAAAGUUCUUUGGAAUAGGACAUCAUAGAGGGUGAGAAUCCCGUAUUUGACCUUUACUUUCAACUUUGUGAUACACUUUCAAGGAGUCGGAUUGUUUGGGAAUGCAGUCCAAAAUGGGUGGUAAAUUUCAUCUAAAGCUAAAUAUUGGCGAGAGACCGACAGCGAACAAGUACCGUGAGGGAAAGAUGAAAGGAACUUUGAAAAGAGAGUUAAACAGUACGUGAAAUUGUCAAAAGGGAAGCGUUUGACACCAGUGUUGUUUUUCUGGAAAAUCAAUUAAAGAACUGUUUAUGCUAAGUUGUUUAGACUUUAUCAGCUAACUGUUUAGUUUUGAGCUUUUCUUUAAUGCACUUUUCAGUUAACAAGUCAACAUCAAUUUCUUUUGCUGUAAAAAAGCUUGAGGAAGGUGGCUUGAGAUUCGUCUUAAGUGUUUAUAGCCUCUUGCCUAUGCAGUCGGAGAGAUUGAGGUCUGCAGCGUAGAUCCUUCGGGGCUAAAUGCAUUUGUGCUAAGUUAUAGCAUUUUAUAGACAACUUGUUGACUAUGAUUUGUCUUGUAGCUUACUCGCUUAUGUUAUUUUACCUACGCUUAGGAUGUUGAAGAUGUAGCACAUCAU